UCAUCUUACCCUAACCCAUAGUUCAGUUCCAAUGAACUGAGGGUUCAGAGGGAAAAAAAAAAUCAAUCUUCAGGUGAAAUUACAGGAGAUCAGUGAGCCUUGAAGGUCCUGCUCUUCUUGCCUGCUCCCAGCACACGGCCCCACUCCUGUGCUCAGCUGGGCACCUUUGUGAAACCAUUCCUGCAUAUUCAGCUGCAUAAGGGAGAUCCUUAUCUGCGGGUUACUGAGCUCAAUGGCUUCACAGAAGAUAUCCAACAAAGGACAGGAAAAAAAAAAUUCAACUUGGAAGGAAGAAAUGAAGGAACCAGAGAAGCAAAUUGUUUUGUCAGCUUAAUUUCUGAAGUAGAUGACUGCUCUGGAGGAUCAAACAAAUGGCAGAAGCAGAAAAAUAGGAAAGAGCAGGAAUCCACAGCUGAAGGAUGUUUACAUUCUGCCUUUUACAGCGCUGUGAAUAUGGAAUCUCAUCUGCACAGUAACUCUCAGUCUCCUUCCCACUGGCAGCAGAAAAGCAGCUGGCAGAGGCAGGAGCUGCCACAGCAGCAGAGCUGGGUCCUGGCACCACAACUGAUGCAAGUCAGCAGGCCUGGGCACGCCAAAGCAGCAACCCCCAGUCCUUCACUUGCCCCCAGUAAAGCUGGAGAUAAAAGAACAGCACAAAAAUGAUGACAGGAUUAAAUUUGCCCAAUUUUAAACACAUCAGUGCUAUCAGAAGCCACAGCAGCUGUAAAGUGGCCUGGACUUACAUUUCAGUGCUGUCAUUAACACACCCAAAUAUUUCAACGCCUUUCAAUGGAAAAUAAUUCAUUAAGGAAGCAAAGCUGUAAGAAAAGAGUGAAGGAGGCUUCAAGACAACUAGAAGAUGGCAAUUAUAUAACUCUAUGAACUUCCUGAAGUAUUUCAGAUGUCAUUUUCAAAUAAACCACUCUAAAUAAAAUGAAGAAAUAUCUAGUAUUUGUUAUGAGAAUGAGUUGGAAAAUAUUUCUUGCUAUGUUUAAGACAGAAACAUCCUGAGGUUUUUCAUAUACCAGAUAUCUUUUAGAGGAAAGAGAGACAAGAAAAUACACACAUUUUUUAAAUUAUUGAGAAGAUAAAUAUAACUCCCCAUAGAAGAAACUAGGUACUAAAAAUUCUUUCACCACAACAAAUUCUGUGUUUGGCAUGAGUAAAAAAAAAAUUCUUUAAUAUUACUCUACUGAACAAAAUGAAAUGUUUGUGCCAGGUCUCUGAGUUUUGUAAGGCCUGCUUACUUGGUGAAAAGAGCCUGUUACCAUGGUUACAGCCGUAAAAACUUAAGCCUCAGUGAGAUAUUAACAUUCCUUACUCUUGGAAAGAAAAAGGUUUCCUUUUUUUAGGCAAGUGACCCUUUCUUUUUUCCAAGGUUCCCCCCCUUUCUUUUACAUGUUAGAAAAGAAUCAGAAAUAAAUCCUAAUCUUGUGUAAAUAGUUGAAGAUGUGAAGCCUGACUAGUACAUUGUUUCUGUACCAAAGCAUCUUCUUUUAAAGGCAAGGCUCCUUCCAGUUGUACCUAGUCCUUAACAAAAUGAAAGUAAAUCACCAAAAGCAAACAAAUGCUAUGGAUUUCAAGUAACCUGCUUCUAAAAUUAAACAACCAUGGAGUAAAGAUGUCCUUGUUUGAAUUGUGACCUGAGAGUGUCUCCUGGCUUUGUUUUUUAGCAGAACUAUGCAUUCCACACUGUU